GACGAACGCUGGCGGCGUGCCUAAUACAUGCAAGUAGGACGCACAGUUUAUACCGUAGCUUGCUACACCAUAGACUGUGAGUUGCGAACGGGUGAGUAACGCGUAGGUAACCUGCCUGGUAGCGGGGGAUAACUAUUGGAAACGAUAGCUAAUACCGCAUAAUAUUGAUUAUUGCAUGAUAAUUAAUUGAAAGGUGCAAUUGCACCACUACCAGAUGGACCUGCGUUGUAUUAGCUAGUAGGUGAGGUAACGGCUCACCUAGGCGACGAUACAUAGCCGACCUGAGAGGGUGAUCGGCCACACUGGGACUGAGACACGGCCCAGACUCCUACGGGAGGCAGCAGUAGGGAAUCUUCGGCAAUGGACGAAAGUCUGACCGAGCAACGCCGCGUGAGUGAAGAAGGUUUUCGGAUCGUAAAGCUCUGUUGUAAGAGAAGAACGGGUGUGAGAGUGGAAAGUUCACACUGUGACGGUAUCUUACCAGAAAGGGACGGCUAACUACGUG
rnacentral:rRNA from 1 species